AUUUAAUGACUACAAUGUUAAUGCACCAGAUCCCAUUAGAACUCCACAGUUAAGCGUGUUUGGGCUAUAGUAGUACUGAGAUGGGUGACCUCUCGGGAAGUCCCAAUAUCUUACAUG
rnacentral:rRNA from 1 species